rnacentral:lncRNA from 1 species
CAUAUUUAAUUCUUUUGUACUGUCUUCAAAUUCUCACAUGCAAUUUCUAUACCGAUUAGUUGCUUGUUUAUUUGAAUUGAUUUAGGAAUAACUCACAGGGAGUGAGUUUUAUAUCAAAAUGACUAGAACAUGAAUUUUGGAGUCUGCCUGACGAGUUAAAGUUGCAGACCAAAAAGUUACGAGUCUUUGUACUCGUAAGUUGUAUAUCCCCUUGAAGCUACCAUGUUCAUGCAGAAUGGAGAUAUUGUAUCCAUCUCUCUCUCUUUUUUUUUUUUUGGUAACUGGAAUUGAACUCAGGACCUCGCACUUGCCAGGUAGGUGCAGCGCCAUAUAGCUAAAUCCCCAGACCCUGUGUUCACCUUUUCUUAAAGGACUACUUGAGGAAUUAGAUGUUUAAAUUCUGGUAUCAAGACAGGGGUUGGACUCUUAUCUCUGCUUCUUAGCAUAGCAUCAUGGGCAAAUAAGUUAAACUUUUCUGAGUCUCAUUUCCCUCAUCUGUAAGUUAGGGUCCAUAAUAGGAUUUAUCUCAUGGAGUUGUUCGCAUUACGCAAAAUAAUGCAUGGAAGACUUAGAAUGCUACUUAAUACUUAGUAAGCACUUAAUUAAUGUUAAGUAUUACUAUAGAUAAUGUUCACUUAGUGUACCUGAUGCCAAGAGGUUCAAAUAAACUUUAAUUCUUUCUCUUGCUGGUCCCCACCUUUAAAAUUGUUGCCAUGGUAGAUGAACUUUGUAGAUCUAUUGGCUAAAAGGAUUUAACAUAGAACUUUCAUUACAUGAAUGGUGUUUGACUGUUUUACUCAUCUUACAUGACACCUUUGGGAGGAAAAACUCUUGGGAAGAUAACAAUUUAUCUGAAUUUAAAAAGGAUUAUGUUCUCCAAAUGUGGGCUGGAGACUUUUAUUGAACACAGCCAUUUUGUGUCAUGUUGAUUUCCUCAGGAUAUGAAUCAGAGAGAAAGAACUGAAGACUUGUCCCAGGAAGAAAAGGGAGGACUGGCAGCAGAUUUUUCACUGGUUUGUCUUUGGAAAAGAAUGAGAAGAGCUGGUAAACUCUCCUUCCUCACUUCUGCUCCUUGGGUGAGUGUAAUUUAUAUUUCUAACCAUUUUGCAAAUGUCAUUAAAGAGUAUUUCCCAAGUUUCUGUUGAGGAAGAGCCUUGUUUGAUCUUUGCAAUGCUGGCACUCUUUUAGAAUUAACCAUGGAAAAAUUUGAUGACACUUCCAUGCUUCUUGUAAAAUUUAUCUUUGGGGUAAUUUUACAGUGUGUGUUUUCCCCUUGAAUGUUUUAAAGAUUUGGAUUUCCGUCUCUUUGCAGAACAUUGUACCAGCUGUGUCUCAUUUGCUUUGCAAGGGCAUUUGAAGAAAUUGCUAUUUUGGAAACUGCUUAACGUAUGAGAUAAUUGUUUUAAGCACUUUGCAGGUUGCAUAGUGCUUUCCCAUUAUUUUAUCCAUUCAUUUUUCCUAGACACUUAGGAAAUACUAUUUACAUUUUUCAGAAAGGAAAAUAGAGGUACUGAAGAAAGAACAGAAAGCA